AGCUUUAUAGGGAUAAAACUCAGCUAACAAACAUGAAAUCCAUCUUGUUGCUUCUCCGCUAAAUUGCUAAAGACCACUGUUUAAUUGGGGCGAUAACCUUAUCCACAGCCACCUAAGGUGAACAAAGCGAUACAAGGAUCCUUGACCAACUAAUAAGUGCAAAGAUACAUGUUUUGCUUAAUGGCCCAACAAGUCCUUCCCAGUACUUAAAUGCUAUCUUAAUGAGCUUUAAAUUAAUUUACCAGAGUGAAGCUACUCUACGGAUAACAGGCUUAAUUUCCGCAAUAUCCAAGGUCACAUUAUCAAGAAUAAAGCACCUCGAUGUCGGCUUAUCUCAACCAAGGUAA
rnacentral:rRNA from 1 species